GUCGGGCGCGGCGGCGCGCACGCAGGCCUCGCCUCUCCCGGGCCUGCUCUCUCACGCCGGCCGCCGGGCGGGCGCGCACGCCGAGUUACGCUCGGAGGAGGAAGCGCAACCCCUUUCCCCUCCCUCGCUGCCCCUGGCCCAGCGGGAGCCCCCCCAGUGCGCCUGUGCGGAGGCCUGCUUGAUUAUGUGUGCCCUCUCCGGGCUCCAGCGUUAGCGGCCGGGUGGAGGUGGGGAGGGAAGACAACGAGGAGGAGGAGGAGGAGGAGGCGGUGGAGGGGAGGUGGGGGGAGUCAGCAAGGACAUGGCUCCUGACUCCUGUGCGGAACGUGAGUGACUGAGCGGCAAAGCCCGAAUGGUCUCUAGCGACCGGCCCGUGUCACUGGAGGACGAGGUCUCCCAUAGUAUGAAGGAGAUGAUUGGAGGCUGUUGCGUUUGCUCAGACGAGAGAGGCUGGGCCGAGAACCCGCUGGUUUAUUGCGACGGGCACGGCUGCAGCGUCGCGGUGCAUCAAGCUUGCUAUGGCAUUGUUCAAGUACCCACAGGACCAUGGUUUUGCAGGAAAUGUGAAUCUCAGGAGAGAGCGGCCAGAGUGAGAUGUGAACUGUGUCCUCAUAAGGAUGGAGCUUUAAAAAGAACAGAUAAUGGCGGUUGGGCUCAUGUGGUUUGUGCCCUGUAUAUUCCAGAGGUACAGUUUGCCAAUGUUUCUACAAUGGAACCAAUUGUUUUACAGUCUGUUCCACAUGAUCGUUAUAAUAAGACUUGCUACAUUUGUGAUGAACAAGGAAGAGAAAGCAAAGCAGCCACUGGUGCUUGCAUGACAUGUAAUAAACAUGGAUGUCGACAGGCUUUCCAUGUGACAUGUGCUCAGUUUGCCGGACUGCUUUGUGAAGAGGAAGGUAACGGUGCAGAUAAUGUCCAAUAUUGUGGCUACUGUAAAUACCAUUUUAGUAAGCUGAAAAAGAGCAAACGGGGAACUAAUAGGUCAUAUGAUCAAAGUUUAAGUGAUUCUUCCUCUCACUCUCAGGAUAAACAUCAUGAGAAAGAGAAAAAAAAAUAUAAAGAAAAGGACAAACACAAACAAAAACAUAAGAAGCAACCAGAACCAUCACCUGCAUUGGUUCCUUCCUUGACUGUUACUACAGAAAAAACUUAUACAAGCACUAGCAGCAAUUCUAUAUCUGGAUCCUUGAAGCGCUUGGAAGAUACUGCAGCUCGAUUUACAAAUGCGAAUUUCCAGGAAGUCUCUUCGCACACUACUAGUGCAAAAGAUGUUUCAGAGGCUAGAGGGUCAGAGUGCAAAGGGAAGAAAUCUUCGGCUCACAGCUCAGGUCAAAGGGGAAGAAAGCCUGGUGGAAGGAAUCCAGGAACGACUGUGUCAGCUGCUAGUCCUUUCCAGCAAGGCAGUUUUUCAGGAACUCCAGGCAGUGUAAAAUCAUCUUCGGGAAGUUCUGUACAGUCUCCCCAGGAUUUCUUGAGCUUUACAGACCCAGAUCUGCGUAAUGACAGUUAUACUCACUCCCAGCAGUCAUCAUCAACCAAAGAUGUACAUAAAGGAGAGUCUGGAAACCAGGAAGGGGGGGUAAAUAGUUUUAGUUCCAUAAUUGGUCUCCCUUCAGCCUCAGCUGUUAUUUCGCAGCCUAAAAGCUUUGAAAAUUCACCUGGAGAUUUGGGUAAUUCCAGCCUCCCUACAGCAGGAUAUAAGCGGGCUCAAACUUCUGGCAUAGAAGAAGAAACUGUAAAGGAAAAGAAAAGAAAAGGCAAUAAGCAAAGCAAGCACGGGCCUGGGAGACCAAAAGGAAACAGAAAUCAGGAGAGUGCUGCUCAUCUCUCAGUCUCGUCUGCCUCUCCAACGUCGUCUGUAGCAUCAGCUGCAGGGAGUGUCACCAGCUCUAGUCUUCAGAAAUCCCCCACGCCGCUCAGGAAUGGGAGUGUGCAGAGCCUCAGUGUGGGCUCCUCUCCACUUGGUUCAGAAAUUUCCAUGCAGUAUCGGCACGAUGGAGCUUGUCCAACAACUACUUUCUCAGAGUUGCUGAAUGCAAUACACAAUGGUAUUUAUAACAGCAAUGAUGUAGCAGUAUCAUUUCCAAAUGUAGUAUCUGGCUCAGGAUCGAGUACUCCUGUCUCCAGUUCUCAUUUACCUCAGCAACCUUCUGGGCAUUUACAGCAAGUGGGCGCUCUCUCCCCGUCAGCUGGGUCAUCUGCACCCUCUGCUGUUGCUGCAACUCAGGCAAAUACCCUAUCUGGAUCGUCUCUUAAUCAGGCAUCAUCUCAUAUGUAUGGCAAUAGAUUAAAUUCAACUUCAUCAAUGGCAGCUCUUAUAGCUCAGUCGGAAAACAAUCAAACAGAUCAAGAUCUUGGAGACAAUAGCCGUAGCCUUGCUGGCAGAGGAAGCUCACCCAGAGGAAGUCUCUCACCAAGGUCCCCUGUAAGCAACUUACAGAUCCGCUAUGACCAGCCAGGCAACAGCAGUUUGGAAAACCUGCCCCCAGUAGCAGCCAGCAUAGAGCAGCUUCUGGAGAGGCAGUGGAGUGAAGGACAGCAGUUUUUAUUAGAACAGGGCACUCCUAGUGACAUUUUAGGGAUGCUGAAGUCAUUACAUCAACUUCAAGUAGAAAAUCGAAGAUUAGAGGAACAGAUUAAAAACUUGACCGCCAAAAAGGAGCGCCUUCAGUUACUGAAUGCGCAGCUCUCAGUGCCUUUCCCAACGAUCGCAGCAAACCCCAGCCCCUCUCACCAGAUGCACGCGUUUCCAGCACAGAGUGCUCCUACUACUGAUUCCUUGAACAGCAGUAAGAGCCCUCAUCUAGGAAACAACUUUUUACCUGAUAAUUCUCUUCCUGUAUUAAAUCAGGACUUAACCUCCAGCGGACAAAGCACCAGCAGCUCAUCGGCUCUUUCUACUCCACCUCCUGCCGGGCAGAGUCCAGCUCAGCAGGGCUCAGGCGUUAGUGGAGUUCAGCAGGUCAAUGGUGUGACAGUGGGGGCGCUGGCUAGUGGAAUGCCGACUGUAACAUCCACCAUUCCUGCCGUGCCUGGAGUGGGUGGAAUAAUUGGAGCUUUGCCAGGUAACCAACUGGCAAUUAAUGGCAUUGUAGGAGCUUUAAAUGGGGUUAUUCAGACCCCUGUCACGAUGUCCCAGAACCCUACCCCCCUCACCCACACAACUGUACCACCUAAUGCAACACAUCCAAUGCCAGCUACACUGACUAACAGUGCCUCAGGACUAGGAUUACUUUCUGACCAGCAAAGACAAAUAUUUCUUCAUCAACAGCAAUUCCAGCAGUUGUUAAAUUCACAACAGCUCACACCAUAUCAGAGUAAAGAAGAAAAGGGACAAGGCGGGCUGUCCCGCUGGCGUGUCUGGGCCGGGCACUCACCCCUCCCGCGUGUUCUUGUUAAGGAGCAGCACCAGGCGCUUCUGUACCAGCUGGUGCAGCACCACCAGCAGCAGCAGCACCACCAGCCCGACCUCCAGCAGCUGCAGAUCCCGGGACCCACGCAGAUUCCCAUCAACAACCUGCUCGCGGGCACGCAGGCGCCUGCCCUCCACUCAGCCACCACCAACCCGUUCCUCACCAUCCACGGUGACAAUGCAAGUCAGAAGGUAACUGUCUACUUUACUGGAGUAUAAAUGUUUCCCCUAAAUUCCAGUUGAGGGCAGAACCCUGUUAGAGGAAGGAUAUUGGGAUAUAGAAUGGAGACUGGACACCAGGAAAAGGAAGAAGGGAAAGAAUGAGAGACUUAGUGAUAAAAGUGGGCCUGUUGCUCAAGAGAAAAGUUGACAGUUGAGAAAAAAACACCUAGAAAUGGCCUAUCCUGCUGUCCUAGCACUUCAUCUGGCUGCUGUUGCAGUCCUUUUACUACACCUAUGAAGAAAUGCAACAAGAAACCAGCUGCACGAUAAAGGAUUAAUUGCCAUGAGAGCAUUCUUGUAAGGUUUUGGUUGAUGUUGCUUUGUUGCACUGAAAUGAAAUUCCCAUAUCCCCUACCCCUCUCCCAGAUUAUUUUGAACCUUGAAAGAAAAUUUAAUGGCUAACUUUGGUCAGUGAAAUAAUUUACAUGGCAAUGAGUUUAUCAACUUAAGAGAAAUUGAAUAUAGUUGGUGCACAACUAAUUUUGAUUAUAAAUUGCAGAGAUGACUAGCAAAACUAAAGACUUGUUCCAUUUAUAAACCUUUUGAUUUUAUUGUACCAGUUGGAACAUGAAAUAUGAUCUUUUGUUUGGGUUACAGUGCAUUUGCUCUGUGAGUCAAACCUUAAAACAAAUUUCAAGGAACUGUUUAAUUUCUUCUUCUAGAGUUUUAUUGGUUAAAUAUUACAAAUAAAUAGGUCAUCCACUGGGACUUGGCAAUCUUUGUUAUAAAAAUUUCCUUUCUAAUGGGAUUUGGCCAAUUUUGGUAAUCAAGUUAGGAUGGUAAAUGUCUGCUUCUGCUAAAGUUAAUUUUCUUUUGCUAAAUGCUUUUUCUUUAGUGUUAAGACCUACUCAUAUUUUGAAGAAACCUUGAGUUAAGUGAGCUCUAAGGCUGCUGGGGGAACCAGCUCAAUUCAGAAUGAAAGAGGGGCCACUCUGGAAACUGCUGGUAGGGUUUGGCCUGGAUCAAGUGCCUGUUAGUACCUGCCUUGUGCUGAAGUGGCUCUGGUCAGCUGAGUAGCAACAGCAGCCUUCCCCAUGGUUCUGCCUUUAUUGAGAACUUUCUAUGCCACUGUAGAUAGCUCAGGCGAAGCUAUUACCUGGGUAUUUAUCCACUAAUGAGUCACAAGAAAAAUGUGUGGAUUUGGUAAGAAUUUUCUUUUUUUCUUUAGUUAGACAACUUCUCGUUGUUAACAGUGAUUUCAAACAAACAAAACAAGACAAAAAAACCCACCACAGCAGUUCUUGAAACAGGUGAAAUCUAUGUUACAGCCCUUCCAUGUUGGGUAGCCCCACUCCUGGGGUGACAGUGUAGCAGAGUAUAAAUUAAACAAUUGGGGAUGUAAUCAUUGAACUGUUCUUGAAUGUGUGAAUUAUUAGUGGAAAAAAGACCCAGAUGUAAUUAGACCUCCACUGUGUACUUAGCUGGAAGAACAUGUUAAUUCUGCAAUAUGUCUCUUGGUUAAACAUUGCACAGUUCUUACCUCAUUUCUGUAAAUAAGGUUUUGUGAAUCUGUUUUGUAUUGUGAAAAAUUCAUAAGAUAACAUUGAUAUUUUGAUUUGUAAUAUUUCUAAUUGGUAGAUUUAAUUGAAAAGUAAAAUUAAUUUAUUUUUAUAUGUUCAGGGGAAUUUUAAAGAAAGUCAAAUCUUUUGUAGAUAAUUACAAAAAAAUCGGUGUGGUUUAUUUUACUUAUUUAACCCACUGGUUGUUAUUCUGUAACAAUUUGUAUAAAUGGUAAAUUUUGAAUGUGUUGUUAUUUUACUUAGAUGUAAAAUUCCACAUGUAUUAAAGAAAAUGUACAAAGUUUUUGUUAAUAAAAUUUAAUAAUGUUUAUAGCUCC